AUUGAACGCUGGCGGCAUGCCUUACACAUGCAAGUCGGACGGCAGCAUGGGCUUCGGCCUGAUGGCGAGUGGCGAACGGGUGAGUAAAGCAUCGGAACGUACCUUCUGAUGGGGGAUAACGAGGCGAAAGUCUCGCUAAUACCGCAUAGAUUCUGAGGAAUAAAGCAGGGGCUCGCAAGACCUUGCGUCAGGGGAUCGGCCGAUGUCGGAUUAGCUAGUUGGUGGGGUAAAGGCCUACCAAGGCGACGAUCCGUAGCGGGUCUGAGAGGAUGAUCGGCCACACUGGGACUGAGACACGGCCCAGACUCCUACAGGAGGCAGCAGUGGGGAAUUUUGGACAAUGGGCGGAAGCCUGAUCCAGCCAUGCCGCGUGAGUGAAGAAGGCCUUCGGGUUGUAAAGCUCUUUCGGUGGGGAAGAAAUCGCACGGGCUAAUACCUCGUGUGGAUGACGGUACCCGCAUAAGAAGCACCGGCUAACUACGUGCCAGCAGCCGCCGUAACAC
rnacentral:rRNA from 1 species